rnacentral:rRNA from 1 species
UCUUGGUCAUUUAGAGGAAGUAAAAGUCGUAACAAGGUCUCCGUUGGUGAACCAGCGGAGGGAUCAUUACCGAGUUUACAACUCCCAAACCCCUGUGAACAUACCUUAAUGUUGCCUCGGCGGAUCAGCCCGCGCCCCGUAAAACGGGACGGCCCGCCAGAGGAUCCAAACUCUAAUGUUUCUUAUUGUAACUUCUGAGUAAAACAAACAAAUAAAUCAAAACUUUCAACAACGGAUCUCUUGGUUCUGGCAUCGAUGAAGAACGCAGCAAAAUGCGAUAAGUAAUGUGAAUUGCAGAAUUCAGUGAAUCAUCGAAUCUUUGAACGCACAUUGCGCCCGCUGGUAUUCCGGCGGGCAUGCCUGUUCGAGCGUCAUUUCAACCCUCAAACCUCACGGUUUGGUGUUGGGGAUCGGGUUUUCGCAAGAGAACCCGCCCCCUAAAUACAUUGGCGGUCUCGCUGCAGCCUCCAUUGCGUAGUAGCUAACACCUCGCAACUGGAACGCGGCGCGGCCAUGCCGUAAAACCCCAACUUCUGAAUGUUGACCUCGGAUCAGGUAGGAAUACCCGCUGAACUUAAGCAUAUCAAUAAGCGGAGGAA